rnacentral:hammerhead_ribozyme from 1 species
AUCCAGAUGACGAGUCCAAACAGGACGAAACACGCGUCCUGGAU